UGGACAGCAAGACCUAAGCAAGUUCGGAUUUAAUAUCGCAAGAAAAAACAUUUCAGGAGGAGUGGAACCCAUGCUGUUGCAUGCUGAGAUGCUUUUCUGCUCACCACGGUUGUAGAGUUGCUAUGAGAGACUGUGUGAGGGGAAAACCCCAGGACAUCAGCUGAAAGACUCAAACCAACACCCAUGCCACAGUGAAAGAAAGUCACACUUUGAGAUCACAAUUUUUCCCAUUCUGAUGUUUGAACAUUGUGAAUGUUAACUGAAGCUCUUGAUUUGUAUCUCCAUGAUUUUAUGCCUUGUGCUGCUGUCAAGGG